rnacentral:rRNA from 1 species
UACGGAGGGUGCAAGCGUUAAUCGGAAUUACUGGGCGUAAAGCGUACGUAGGCUGUUACGUAAGUUGGAUGUGAAAGCCCUGGGCUCAACCUGGGAAUUGCAUUCAAAACUGCGUAGCUAGAAUAUGGGAGAGGAGAGUGAAAUUUCCGGUGUAACGGUGAAAUGUAUAGAUAUCGGAAGGAACAUCAGUGGCGAAGGCGACUCUCUGGCCCAAUAUUGACGCUGAGGUACGAAAGCGUGGGGAGCGAACAGG